rnacentral:rRNA from 1 species
UCAAGCUACAAAGGGCGCACGGUGAAUGCCUUGGCGUCAGGAGCCGAAGAAGGACGUAGCAAUCUGCGAAAAGCCUCGGGGAGCCGAAAGCAGGCUUAGAUCCGGGGGUGUCCGAAUGGGGGAACCCACUUACCGUAAUGGGUAAGUACUCCUACCUGAACACAUAGGGUAGGUAGAGGGAACCCGGGGAACUGAAACAUCUAAGUACCCGGAGGAAAAGAAAGAAUAAUCGAUUUCCUGAGUAGCGGCGAGCGAAACGGAAAGAGCCCAAACCAAUUUAGCUUGCUAAGUUGGGGUUGCGGACCAGUCGUGUGGAGUUACAAAACUUUAUUCUAGUCGAACUACCUGGAAAGGUAGGCCACAGAAGGUGAAAGCCCUGUAGGCGAAAGGAUAAAGACUCCGACUGGGAUCCAGAGUACCACGGGACACGAGGAACCCUGUGGGAAGCAGGGAGGACCACCUCCCAAGGCUAAAUACUACCUGACGACCGAUAGUGAACCAGUACCGUGAGGGAAAGGUGAAAAGAACCCCGGGAGGGGAGUGAAAGAGAACCUGAAACCGUGUGCUUACAAUCAGUCGAAGCACAAUGCUAUUAGCAAGUGUAACGGCGUACUUUUUGUAGAACGGUCCUGCGAGUUACCGUAUCAAGCGAGGUUAAGCAGAAGAUGUGGAGCCGAAGCGAAAGCGAGUCUGAAGAGGGCGCUAGUUUGAUGCGGUAGACCCGAAACCGGGUGAUCUAGUCAUGGCCAGAGUGAAGUUCCGUUAACCCGGGAUGGAGGCUCGAACCACAUUGUCGUUGAAAAGGCAUGGGAUGAGCUGUGGCUAGGGGUGAAAUGCCAAUCGAACUCGGAGAUAGCUGGUUCUCCCCGAAAUAGCUUUAGGGCUAGCCUUGGGAAGAGUCAUACGGAGGUAGAGCACUGAUUGGGCUAGGGGCCUUACCGGGUUACCGAACCCGUUCAAACUCCGAAUGCCGUAUGAUAAGCCCAGGAGUCAGACAAUGGGGGAUAAGCUUCAUUGUCGAGAGGGAAACAGCCCAGACCUUCAGCUAAGGUCCCCAAGUUCGUGCUAAGUGGAAAACGAUGUGGGAUUGCACAGACAACCAGGAUGUUGGCUUAGAAGCAGCCAUUCAUUGAAAGAGUGCGUAAUAGCUCACUGGUCGAGUGGUCCUGCGCGGAAAAUGUAACGGGGCUCAAGCACGACACCGAAGCUAGGGAUUCUCGUGAGUUUCAUCGAGGAUUUCAGUGGUAAAGUUGGAAGGUAUGCGACGCCAUAAGGCGGCGCCAAAAGCCUCAGAACAAGCACAUUGCAGUGCUAAGCUGGAAUCUUGGAUGAAACUCACGGGAGUGGUAGGGGAGCGUUGUGUUCAGCGUUGAAGCAGUACCGGAAGGAGCUGUGGAGCGGACACAAGUGAGAAUGCAGGAAUAAGUAGCGAAAAGACAGGUGAGAAUCCUGUCCGCCGAAAGCCUAAGGUUUCCUGAGGAAGGUUCGUCCGCUCAGGGUAAGCCGGGACCUAAGCCGAGGCCGAAAGGCGUAGGCGAUGGAAGACGGGUUAAAAUUCCCGUGCCACCUAGGUACCGUUUGAGCGAAGGGGUGACACAGAAGGGUAGGCCAGCCGGCUGAUGGAUGCCGGUCCAAGCGAGUAGGGUGUGUGGCAGGCAAAUCCGCCAUACGAAAAGCCCGAGACGUGACGGGGAGCGAAAUAUUAGUAGCGGAACUGGUUGAUCCCACGCUGUCGAGAAAAGCCUCUAGCGAGGUACCGGGUGCCCGUACCGCAAACCGCCACAGGUAGGUGAGGAGAGAAUCCUAAGGCGCGCGAGAGAACCCCUGUUAAGGAACUCGGCAAACUGACCGCGUAACUUCGGGAGAAGCGGUGCCCUGCGUAGCGUGAGGGUAAAACUAUCUGAGCGCGAAGGGGUUGCAAAGAAAUGGCCCAGGCGACUGUUUACCAAAAACACAGGUCCCUGCUAAGUCGAAAGACGACGUAUAGGGGCUGACACCUGCCCAGUGCCGGAAGGUUAAGGGGAAAGGUUAGGUCGAAAGGCCGAAGCUUUGAACUUAAGCCCCGGUAAACGGCGGCCGUAACUAUAACGGUCCUAAGGUAGCGAAAUUCCUUGUCGGGUAAGUUCCGACCUGC